rnacentral:rRNA from 1 species
AGGACGAACGCUGGCGGCGUGCCUAACACAUGCAAGUGGAGCGACGAACCGGGGCUUGCCCCGGGGCAGAGCCGCGAACGGGUGAGUAACACGUGGGUUACCUGCCCCGAUGACUGGGACAACCCGUCGAAAGACGGGCUAAUACCGGAUGUGCCCCUUGGGGGAAAGGAAGCUUCGGCCUCCGCAUCGGGAUGGGCCCGCGGCGCAUUAGCUUGUUGGUGGGGUAAUGGCUUACCAAGGCGACGAUGCGUAGCUGGUCUGAGAGGACGAUCAGCCACACUGGGACUGAGACACGGCCCAGACUCCUACGGGAGGCAGCAGUGGGGAAUCUUGCACAAUGCGCGAAAGCGUGAUGCAGCAACGCGCGUGCGGGAAGAAGGCCUUAGGGUUGUAAACCGCUUUCGAGUUGGACGAAGCUUUAGUCGUUAAUAGCGGUUUGGAGUGACGUACCUUCGAGAAGAAGCGCCGGCUAACGACGUGCCAGCAGCCG